UUCCCGCCCUUCGCUGAGCUGCGCCGGGUGAAAUCUGAGUCGCGCGCACCUUAGUCCAGCCGCCCUCUUGCGUUCGAGCCGCACGUCUGUGCCAGCCACCUUUACCUGAGCCGUUUUCAAAACCUUAGCCGAACCACCUCUGGUUGCCAAGCCGUUUGAGCCACCUAACCUAUUUUUGGUCUUUUUCCACCUAUUUUGGUCAAUUGGGGGCUGAACCAAGGAAUUUUCCUAAACGAAGGAUAAAUUUGGAAUUAUCUUCAACUUUAGGCAGAGGUAGAGGUAAGAGCAAAGGCAAGCGGACGAAUGACCAGAAGUGACCGUAGCGAGCCAUAGGGACAUGUUUGCUUCCGCUUACGUCAUGUGUCAGAUU